UUAAGUGACUAAGCGUACAUGGUGGAUGCCUUGGCAGUCAGAGGCGAUGAAGGACGUACUAACCUGCGAUAAGCCGUGAGCAGUCGGUAAGAGACAUUACGACUCACGGAUUUCCGAAUGGGGAAACCCACUUAGCAUAAGCUAGGUAUCGCUGCGUGAAUACAUAGCGUAGCGAGGCGAACCGGGAGAACUGAAACAUCUAAGUACCCCGAGGAAAAGAAAUCAACCGAGAUUCCCUCAGUAGCGGCGAGCGAACGGGGAUUAGCCCUUAAGCAUCUUGGAAGUUAGUGGAACGGUCCUGGAAAGGCCGGCGAUACAGGGUGAUAGCCCCGUACACGAAAACAACCUUGAUGUGAAAUCGAGUAGGGCGGGACACGUGACAUCCUGUCUGAAUAUGGGGGGACCAUCCUCCAAGGCUAAAUACUCCUGACUGACCGAUAGUGAACCAGUACCGUGAGGGAAAGGCGAAAAGAACCCCUGUGAGGGGAGUGAAAUAGAACCUGAAACCGUGUACGUACAAGCAGUGGGAGCCCUUCGGGGUGACUGCGUACCUUUUGUAUAAUGGGUCAGCGACUUACAUUUUGUAGCGAGGUUAACCGUAUAGGGGAGCCGUAGGGAAACCGAGUCUUAACUGGGCGUCUAGUUGCAAGGUGUAGACCCGAAACCGGGUGAUCUAGCCAUGGGCAGGUUGAAGGUUGAGUAACAUCAACUGGAGGACCGAACCCACUAACGUUGCAAAGUUAGGGGAUGACCUGUGGCUGGGGGUGAAAGGCCAAUCAAACUCGGAGAUAGCUGGUUCUCCCCGAAAGCUAUUUAGGUAGCGCCUCGGACGAAUACUACUGGGGGUAGAGCACUGUUUGGGCUAGGGGGUCAUCCCGACUUACCAACCCCAUGCAAACUCCGAAUACCAGUAAGUAAUAUCCGGGAGACACACGGCGGGUGCUAACGUCCGUCGUGAAGAGGGAAACAACCCAGACCGCCGGCUAAGGUCCCAAAGUUCUGGUUAAGUGGGAAACGAUGUGGGAAGGCUCAGACAGCUAGGAUGUUGGCUUAGAAGCAGCCAUCAUUUAAAGAAAGCGUAAUAGCUCACUAGUCGAGUCGGCCUGCGCGGAAGAUGUAACGGGGCUCAAACCAGGCACCGAAGCCGCGGAUUCACGCUAAGCGUGAGUGGUAGGGGAGCGUUCUGUAAGUCUGCGAAGGUGUGUCGAGAGGCAUGCUGGAGAUAUCAGAAGUGCGAAUGCUGACGUAAGUAACGAUAAAGGGGGUGAAAAGCCUCCUCGCCGGAAGACCAAGGGUUCCUGUCCAACGUUAAUCGGGGCAGGGUGAGUCGACCCCUAAGGCGAGGCCGAAAGGCGUAGUCGAUGGGAAGCAGGUUAAUAUUCCUGCACGACUUGUAAUUGCGAUGGGGGGACGGAGAAGGCUAGGUGGGCCAGGCGACGGUUGUCCUGGUGAAAGUGCGUAGGUGGUGUUUCUAGGCAAAUCCGGAGACACAACACUGAGACACGAGACGAACACACUACGGUGUGGAAGCCAUUGAUGCCCUGCUUCCAGGAAAAGCCUCUAAGCUUCAGAUUACAAGUCAUCGUACCCCAAACCGACACAGGUGGUCGGGUAGAGAAUACCAAGGCGCUUGAGAGAACUCGGGUGAAGGAACUAGGCAAAAUAGAACCGUAACUUCGGGAGAAGGUUCGCUCUUGACAGUGAAGUCCCUUGCGGAUGGAGCAGUUGGGAGUCGCAGUGACCAGAUGGCUGGGACUGUUUAUCAAAAACACAGCACUCUGCAAACACGAAAGUGGACGUAUAGGGUGUGACACCUGCCCGGUGCCGGAAGGUUAAUUGAUGGGGUUAGCGCAAGCGAAGCUCUUGAUCGAAGCCCCGGUAAACGGCGGCCGUAACUAUAACGGUCCUAAGGUAGCGAAAUUCCUUGUCGGGUAAGUUCCGACCUGCACGAAUGGUGUAACCAUGGCCAUGCUGUCUCCACCCGAGACUCAGUGAAAUCGAAUUCGCCGUGAAGAUGCGGUGUACCCGCGGCUAGACGGAAAGACCCCGUGAACCUUUACUACAGCUUGGCACUGAACAUUGAACCUACAUGUGUAGGAUAGGUGGGAGGCUUUGAAGGCGUGACGCCAGUUGCGCUGGAGCCGUCCUUGAAAUACCACCCUUGUAUGUUUGAUGUUCUAACGCAGGCCCGUGAAUCCGGGUCGCGGACAGUGCCUGGUGGGUAGUUUGACUGGGGCGGUCUCCUCCCAAAGAGUAACGGAGGAGCACGAAGGUUGGCUAAUCCUGGUCGGACAUCAGGAGGUUAGUGCAAUGGCAUAAGCCAGCUUAACUGCGAGACGGACAGGUCGAGCAGGUACGAAAGUAGGUCAUAGUGAUCCGGUGGUUCUGAAUGGAAGGGCCAUCGCUCAACGGAUAAAAGGUACUCCGGGGAUAACAGGCUGAUACCGCCCAAGAGUUCAUAUCGACGGCGGUGUUUGGCACCUCGAUGUCGGCUCAUCACAUCCUGGGGCUGAAGUCGGUCCCAAGGGUAUGGCUGUUCGCCAUUUAAAGUGGUACGCGAGCUGGGUUCAGAACGUCGUGAGACAGUUCGGUCCCUAUCUGCCGUGGGCGUUGGAUGAUUGAAGGGAGUUGCUCCUAGUACGAGAGGACCGGAGUGAACGAACCUCUGGUGUUCGGGUUGUCACGCCAGUGGCACUGCCCGGUAGCUAAGUUCGGAAUCGAUAACCGCUGAAAGCAUCUAAGCGGGAAGCGAGCCCUGAGAUGAGUCAUCCCUGACCCCUUGAGGGUCCUAAAGGGCCGUUGGAGACCACAACGUUGAUAGGUGGGGUGUGUAAGCGCGGUGACGUGUUGAGCUAACCCAUACUAAUUACCCGUGAGGCUUAACCA
rnacentral:rRNA from 1 species